CUCAAAUGAAUUGACGGGGCCCGCACAAGCGGUGGAGCAUGUGGUUAAUUCGACGCAACGCGAAAACCUUACCUGGGCUUGACAUGCCGGGAACCCGAUGGAAACAUUGGGGUGCCCCGUAAGGGGAACCCGGACACAGGUGCUGCAUGGCUGUCGUCAGCUCGUGCCGUGAGGUGUUGGGUUAAGUCCCGCAACGAGCGCAACCCUCAUCCUUAGUUGCCAGCAUUUAAGGUGGGCACUCUAAGGAAACUGCCGCAGUUAAUGCGGAGGAAGGUGGGGAUGACGUCAAGUCCUCAUGGCCCUUAUGCCCAGGGCUACACACGUGCUACAAUGGGCGGUACAAAGGGUAGCGAUGCCGCGAGGUGAAGCCAAUCCCAAAAAGCCGUCCACAGUUCGGAUUGGAGUCUGCAACUCGACUCCAUGAAGCCGGAAUCGCUAGUAAUCGUGGAUCAGCAUGCCACGGUGAAUACGUUCCCGGGCCUU
rnacentral:rRNA from 1 species